AUCUCUCUCCCUCUCUCUCUCUCUCUCAAGAGAGAUACAGCACUAUAAUGACUCUUUCUUGUCCCCUCUGCUUCCUCUGGUUCCAAACGUCGCAAGCCGGCCUUACCCAAUCCACACACUCCCAAAAUCACAACCAUCUCUAGCGAAUUCUAGCUCUUAUUUUGAUUCAUUCGGUUGUGAGCUUUGCGAUAGUUAUAGGCACCGAAAAAUCCCGAUCUGAAGGUGGAUUCGAAUUCCUUGUUAUUUCGGCCUUUUCGUCUUCUGUGUCGGUCGGGUUUGCGUUUAGAAUCGUGGGUGUUCGAUCUGGUUCUCCGAUUUAUUUUUUUGGGUUUGUUUCAAUCAGAGAUUGGCUUCAAUUUCUGGGCUCCGUUUGAAAUGGUCUAUUUCCAUUGCUUAAUCUCGGUCUGCAACUCCGUUGACCAACCCACAGCCAUGGCUGACACGAAAUCAAGGCUAAAUAAUCCUUUAUCGAGGAAUAGAAAGGCGCUCCAUUCGCCGAGUUCUUCGAAAACCCCAGUUUGUGAUCGAUCUCGAUCGGUGGUAAUAGAUAUAGUAAUCCUUAUAGCAGUUAUUGGCGCUUGCGGGUUUUUGCUGUUCCCUUAUAUCAGGUUUGUGGCCGUCGAGCUUGUCGGAAUUGUUGGAGCGAUUGUUUCUUUUGUUAAAGAGGAAGUUUCUACUGCUCCGUUGUUAUAUGGUUCUAUAGGACUAAGCGUUUGUUGUUCUGCACUGGCUGCCUGGAUGGUUGUGAUAUUUACUAGCCGGAAGUGUGGGAAUCCGAAUUGCAAGGGACUGAGGAAGGCGGCAGAGUUCGAUAUUCAGUUGGAGACAGAGGAGUGUGUGAAGAGCUCGUCUAAUUUGGUUAAAGAUGGAGGAGUGAAGAAGGGUCUAUUUGAAUUGCCACGCGACCACCACCGGGAAUUGGAGGCGGAGCUCAAGAAGAUGGCACCCCCUAAUGGAAGAGCGGUUCUUGUUUUCCGAGGGAGGUGUGGGUGUUCUGUGGGUAGAUUGGAAGUUCCGGGGCCGAAGAAGCAUCGGAAGAACAAAAGGUUUAGAUGGGAUCCAUAGCAGGAUCACAGUCAUUGGACGGAAACAGCAUGCGUGGCACGAUUCAUUCCUUCUAUCUAUGUUUGCACCACACUGCAUGAAUUGAUAAUUUGUGCAUUCCCCAUUAAUCAGUAAGCCAUUGAAAAGCUCAUCAAUUGUCAAAAAACAUUCUGGAAAUGCAGUCUGUGCAUGACCGCGCGAGAUUAUUCUGAGGCUUUAAUGGAGGGUUGUAUGAAAUUAAUCUUUAAAAGUCAGCGCUUAUUCACGAAUCAAGUGUUCUUCAAUGAUGAUUUGUGCUUCGAAGUGUACUGCCUCGUUUUGGUUCCCUACUAAUCAUGUUAAUCUAGGUCCUUAUUCUGCAUGUAACACACCAAGUUCUUUGGUCUUCUCCUUUUGCUGUCAACGUAACACCAAAGUUUAUCUUGAUCUACAACCCUGUACUGUGGCCAUGCAUUCAUUCUUAGUGUCCUGACUAUUUGUGACUAUUGCUAUCCAUGCAAUCGAGGCUUAGCUAUUUGUGAUCA